GACGAACGCUGGCGGCGUGCUUAACACAUGCAAGUCGAACGGAAAGGCCCUGCUUUUGUGGGGUGCUCGAGUGGCGAACGGGUGAGUAACACGUGAGUAACCUGCCCUUGACUUUGGGAUAACUUCAGGAAACUGGGGCUAAUACCGGAUAGGAGCUCCUGCUGCAUGGUGGGGGUUGGAAAGUUUCGGCGGUUGGGGAUGGACUCGCGGCUUAUCAGCUUGUUGGUGGGGUAGUGGCUUACCAAGGCUUUGACGGGUAGCCGGCCUGAGAGGGUGACCGGCCACAUUGGGACUGAGAUACGGCCCAGACUCCUACGGGAGGCAGCAGUGGGGAAUAUUGCAAAAUGGGCGGAAGCCUGAUGCAGCAACGCCGCGUGCGGGAUGACGGCAUUCGGGUUGUAAACCGCUUUCGCCUGUGACGAAGCGUGAGUGACGGUAAUGGGUAAAGAAGCACCGGCUAACUACGU
rnacentral:rRNA from 1 species